GUUAACUAGCUUUAUUUUCUUGAUUGUGUUGUUUGGUUUUCUGACCCGUGUACAGAGAGGUCGCCGGCUAACAAAGAUCAUGCGUCUCUCCCUGUAAAAUCGAUAGAAGAAAGAACAAAAAAAGCAGGCACUUCAGAUGAUGAAGACAGAAAGAAGAACCAGAACCAUCCUAUAAGCAGUGGAUUAGAAAGAUCCGAACUCAAAUAUACAACCAACACACGACUGAUUAAGAGGAAACUGGAGCAGCUCAAAGCCGAGAUGCAGAAACUGUCAGAAAGGCAUCGAUGCACCCGUCCUGAACGAAAAGCGUAUCAUCCUUUCGUGUGGAACAGCCUGAGUCCGUACAGAAAUACUGCAGAGAUCGACUAUCUGCUUGCCGGGUCUUCUAACCAUCACGGUGGUGAUCGAAGACCUUCGAAGACCAUGAGAACAGAAAAGUUUCACCCGUCACACUGACUGUAUGUUUUUCUGUCCGAUCGUGCACAUGGAUAAAAUUUGUACAACACAA